GAGGGUGUGGCUCAUUGGCAGAGCACAUGCUCAGCAUGUAUGAGGUCCUGGGUUCCAUCCCCAGCACCGCCA
rnacentral:tRNA from 1 species